CUACGGGCUGCUGCAGCGGGGAAUAUUGCACAAUGGGCGCAAGCCUGAUGCAGCCAUGCCGCGUGUAUGAAGAAGGCCUUCGGGUUGUAAAGUACUUUCAGCGGGGAGGAAGGGAGUAAAGUUAAUACCUUUGCUCAUUGACGUUACCCGCAGAAGAAGCACCGGCUAACUCCGUGCCAGCAGCCGCGGUAAUACGGAGGGUGCAAGCGUUAAUCGGAAUUACUGGGCGUAAAGCGCACGCAGGCGGUUUGUUAAGUCAGAUGUGAAAUCCCCGGGCUCAACCUGGGAACUGCAUCUGAUACUGGCAAGCUUGAGUCUCGUAGAGGGGGGUAGAAUUCCAGGUGUAGCGGUGAAAUGCGUAGAGAUCUGGAGGAAUACCGGUGGCGAAGGCGGCCCCCUGGACGAAGACUGACGCUCAGGUGCGAAAGCGUGGGGAGCAAACAGGAUUAGAUACCCCCUAGUC
rnacentral:rRNA from 1 species